AAUGAACGCUGGCGGCAUGCCUAACACAUGCAAGUCGAACGAAGGCUUCGGCCUUAGUGGCGCACGGGUGCGUAACGCGUGGGAAUCUGCCCUUGGGUUCGGAAUAACAGUUAGAAAUGACUGCUAAUACCGGAUGAUGUCGUAAGACCAAAGAUUUAUCGCCCAAGGAUGAGCCCGCGUAGGAUUAGCUAGUUGGUGGGGUAAAGGCCUACCAAGGCGACGAUCCUUAGCUGGUCUGAGAGGAUGAUCAGCCACACUGGGACUGAGACACGGCCCAGACUCCUACGGGAGGCAGCAGUGGGGAAUAUUGAACAAUGGGCGAAAGCCUGAUCCAGCAAUGCCGCGUGAGUGAUGAAGGCCUUAGGGUUGUAAAGCUCUUUUACCCGGGAUGAUAAUGACAGUACCGGGAGAAUAAGCUCCGGCUAACUUCGUG
rnacentral:rRNA from 1 species